UUACGCGCUUUUAAAAUAUGGCGUUACAACUGAACAUCAUCAUAUCUGAAGUAUAUGACACAAUGUAUCAAACACAUAGUUGUGUUACGUAUUAUCAAGAGAUUAAGAUUAUUUGAAACCCGCUCAAUUGAAUGACACUGCCAUCUACAGGCAACAACCAUGAGAAUAUAGAAUGUACACUCUCUUCAAUGAGAAUUCCCCAGACAGUGAACAGCUGGUUUAUCCGAAGAAAGUAGAACUCAAACAAUGUUAAGUCUGUUGUGUAUUUAGACCGGUUAAUAAAUAAAAUUUAAUUAAAAAAAUAUUUAUCAAACAUACACAUGGAUGGUUGUAUGAUAAUUUAUUCUAUAACAUUUU